rnacentral:rRNA from 1 species
CACGUAGGGGGCAAGCGUUGUCCGGAUUUAUUUGGCGUAAAGAGCUCGUAGGCGGCUCAGUAAGUCAGGUGUGAAACCUCCAGGCUCAACCUGGAGACGCCACCUGAUACUGCUGUGGCUAGAGUCCGGUAGGGGAGCGUGGAAUUCCUGGUGUAGCGGUGAAAUGCGCAGAUAUCAGGAGGAACACCAGCGGCGAAGGCGGCGCUCUGGGCCGGAACUGACGCUGAGGAGCGAAAGCGUGGGUAGCAAACAGG